rnacentral:rRNA from 1 species
AGUGAACGCUGGCGGUAGGCCUAACACAUGCAAGUCGAACGGCAGCACAGUAAGAGCUUGCUCUUACGGGUGGCGAGUGGCGGACGGGUGAGGAAUACAUCGGAAUCUACUUUUUCGUGGGGGAUAACGUAGGGAAACUUACGCUAAUACCGCAUACGACCUACGGGUGAAAGCAGGGGAUCUUCGGACCUUGCGCGAUUGAAUGAGCCGAUGUCGGAUUAGCUAGUUGGCGGGGUAAAGGCGCACCAAGGCGACGAUCCGUAGCUGGUCUGAGAGGAUGAUCAGCCACACUGGAACUGAGAAACGGUCCAGACUCCUACGGGAGGCAGCAGUGGGGAAUAUUGGACAAUGGGCGCAAGCCUGAUCCAGCCAUACCGCGUGAGUGAAGAAGGCCUUCUGGUUGUAAAGCCCUUUUGUUGGGAAAGAAAAGCAGCACGUUAAUAACCCGCUGUUCUGACGGUACCCAAAGAAUAAGCACCGGCUAACUUCGUG